rnacentral:rRNA from 1 species
GACGAACGCUGGCGGCGUGCCUAACACAUGCAAGUCGAACGGAGUUGUUCCUUCGGGGACAACUUAGUGGCGAACGGGUGAGUAACGCGUGAGAAACCUGCCUUUCAGUGGGGGACAACAGUUGGAAACGACUGCUAAUACCGCAUAAUGUUAUUUGGGGGCAUCCCUGAAUAACCAAAGCUUUAUGUGCUGAAAGAUGGUCUCGCGUCCGAUUAGAUAGUUGGCGGUGUAAUGGACCACCAAGUCGAUGAUCAGUAGCUGUUCUGAGAGGAAGAUCAGCCACAUUGGGACUGAGAUACGGCCCAAACUCCUACGGGAGGCAGCAGUGGGGAAUAUUGGACAAUGGGGGGAACCCGUGAUCCAGCGAUGCCGCGUGAGUGAAGAAGGCCUCGG